rnacentral:rRNA from 1 species
CUUGAUUAGCGGCGGACGGGUGAGUAAUGCCUAGGAAUCUGCCUGGUAGUGGGGGACAACUUUUCGAAAGGAACGCUAAUACCGCAUACGUCCUACGGGAGAAAGCAGGGGACCUUCGGGCCUUGCGCGGGUCAGAUGAGCCUAGGUCGGAUUAGCUAGUUGGAGGGGUAAUGGCUCACCAAGGCGACGAUCCGUAACUGGUCUGAGAGGAUGAUCAGUCACACUGGAACUGACAC